rnacentral:rRNA from 1 species
UGCUUUGAACAUCGACAUCUUGAACGCACAUUGCGGCCAUGGGCUAGCUCAUGGCCACGCCUGUCCGAGGGUCGGCUUAUAAACUAUCACGACGCCCAAAAAGUCGUGGCUUGGGUCUUGCCAGCUGACGUGAUUUCCCUAUUUGUGCAAACGAACGGGGUGUCAGAUCUAUGGCGUUUCCCUAAUAAUUCCAGUUACAACUCCUUUUGGCUGAAGGCCAUAUUGGAGGGUGAUUGUGGAGUCGUGGCUCAAUGGUAAUGUUUGUGCGCGCUCUGCAUGUUCACCGCUGUAUCUGUCUAAUGUGAAAUGCUUUUCGCAUUUUACCUGACCUCGGAUCAGACGUGAAUACCCGCUGAACUUAAGCAUAUCACUAAGCGGAGGAAAAGAAACUAACAAGGAUUCCCUCAGUAACGGCGAGUGAACAGGGAAAAGCCCAGCACCGAAGCCUGUGGCCAUUUGGUCAUUAGGCAAUGUGGUGUUUAGGUCGUUCCGCAGAGGUUCUGCUCCACCCUAAGUCCAUCAAUGAGUACGGUAGUAUGGACAUGGCCCAUUGAGGGUGAAAGGCCCGUGGGGGUGGAGGCAUCGAAAGGCCAGAGCCUCUCUGGGUAGACCUUGGAGUCGGGUUGUUUGUGAAUGCAGCCCAAAGUGGGUGGUAAACUCCAUCCAAGGCUAAAUACUAGCACGAGUCC